AUGCCCCGCAAAAUGCCUCGCCGCCCUAGGAUCAGCAUAGAUCCAAAAUCUGGAUGAGCAUUCGGACUACUGUUUGGUACUAUUGGCUCCUUCGUGUGUCAAGCUGGACUCACAUUCAUCCAGAAAGAGGCUGACGUUGAAAGAGAGAGGAACAAGAACCAAUUCCUCAAGCGCUACUCCGAGCAAUUGGACACGGAGAUAGUAAGGCUCGAGGAGGCAUGGAAGGUAGAGGAGGCCCGACCCCGACCCAAUGAGGAAGGGCAAAAGAGUCAGAGAAGGUGGUUUCCUUGGAUGAAGUAGGUGGAGGACAAGUUUCCGGUGGCCGGCUGCGGACGCGCACAGCUACCUCUGCAUAUUUGGUUGUUUCUUUACUGGACUAGAAUGGCACGCUUGUUUAUCCAUGACCUCCAAUAAACUUUUAUUUCCGAUAAUGCCACUGCUGUCAGAUUGUUCCGCA